UUCUUUUUCCACCGGAGCUUGCUCCACCGGAAAAAGAAGAGUGGCGAACGGGUGAGUAACACGUGGGUAACCUGCCCAUCAGAAGGGGAUAACACUUGGAAACAGGUGCUAAUACCGUAUAACAAUCGAAACCGCAUGGUUUUGAUUUGAAAGGCGCUUUCGGGUGUCGCUGAUGGAUGGACCCGCGGUGCAUUAGCUAGUUGGUGAGGUAACGGCUCACCAAGGCCACGAUGCAUAGCCGACCUGAGAGGGUGAUCGGCCACAUUGGGACUGAGACACGGCCCAAACUCCUACGGGAGGCAGCAGUAGGGAAUCUUCGGCAAUGGACGAAAGUCUGACCGAGCAACGCCGCGUGAGUGAAGAAGGUUUUCGGAUCGUAAAACUCUGUUGUUAGAGAAGAACAAGGAUGAGAGUAACUGUUCAUCCCUUGACGGUAUCUAACCAGAAAGCCACGGCUAACUACGUGCCAGCAGCCGCGGUAAUACGUAGGUGGCAAGCGUUGUCCGGAUUUAUUGGGCGUAAAGCGAGCGCAGGCGGUUUCUUAAGUCUGAUGUGAAAGCCCCCGGCUCAACCGGGGAGGGUCAUUGGAAACUGGGAGACUUGAGUGCAGAAGAGGAGAGUGGAAUUCCAUGUGUAGCGGUGAAAUGCGUAGAUAUAUGGAGGAACACCAGUGGCGAAGGCGGCUCUCUGGUCUGUAACUGACGCUGAGGCUCGAAAGCGUGGGGAGCAAACAGGAUUAGAUACCCUGGUAGUCCACGCCGUAAACGAUGAGUGCUAAGUGUUGGAGGGUUUCCGCCCUUCAGUGCUGCAGCUAACGCAUUAAGCACUCCGCCUGGGGAGUACGACCGCAAGGUUGAAACUCAAAGGAAUUGACGGGGGCCCGCACAAGCGGUGGAGCAUGUGGUUUAAUUCGAAGCAACGCGAAGAACCUUACCAGGUCUUGACAUCCUUUGACCACUCUAGAGAUAGAGCUUCCCCUUCGGGGGCAAAGUGACAGGUGGUGCAUGGUUGUCGUCAGCUCGUGUCGUGAGAUGUUGGGUUAAGUCCCGCAACGAGCGCAACCCUUAUUGUUAGUUGCCAUCAUUCAGUUGGGCACUCUAGCAAGACUGCCGGUGACAAACCGGAGGAAGGUGGGGAUGACGUCAAAUCAUCAUGCCCCUUAUGACCUGGGCUACACACGUGCUACAAUGGGAAGUACAACGAGUCGCGAAGUCGCGAGGCUAAGCUAAUCUCUUAAAGCUUCUCUCAGUUCGGAUUGUAGGCUGCAACUCGCCUACAUGAAGCCGGAAUCGCUAGUAAUCGCGGAUCAGCACGCCGCGGUGAAUACGUUCCCGGGCCUUGUACACACCGCCCGUCACACCACGAGAGUUUGUAACACCCGAAGUCGGUGAGGUAACCUUUUGGAGCCAGCCGCCUAAG
rnacentral:rRNA from 1 species